CGCCUCUUGUAAUCAUAAGAGGUCCAGCCUGCCCAGUGAUUUAUUCAACGGCCGCGGUAUUCUAACCGUGCAAAGGUAGCGUAAUCACUUGUUUUCCAAAUAAAGACCAGUAUGAAAGGCAUCACGAGGACUCAGCUGUCUCCUUUCUCCAAUCAGUGAACCUAACCUCCCCGUGAAGAAACGGGGAUCCCAUUAUAAGACGAGAAGACCCCGUGGAGCUUAAAACAACAUAACAAUUGCUUCAUCUUUAACCACCCCGAUGAUUACCCAUGCAGCAUCCUGAUUAUAUGUUUUUGGUUGGGGUGACCGCGGAGAAAAACUCAUCCUCCAUUAUGAAGGAGACUUCCUACCCUAAACAACAAGUUACAACUUUAUGUAUCAAAAAAUUGACUCUCAUUGACCCAAUAAAUUGAUUAACGAACCAAGUUACCCCGGGGAUAACAGCACAAUCCACUUUGAGAGCCCCUAUCGACAAGUGGGCUUAUGACCUCGAUGUUGGAUCAGGGUAUCCUAGUGGUGCAGCCGCUACUAAAGGUUCGUUUGUUCAACGAUUAAAACCCU
rnacentral:rRNA from 1 species